CCUACGGGAUGCACCAGUGGGUAAUAUUGCACAAUGGGCGCAAGCCUGAUGCAGCCAUGCCGCGUGUAUGAAGAAGGCCUUCGGGUUGUAAAGUACUUUUAGCGGGGAGGAAGGUGUUGAGGUUAAUAACCUCAGCAAUUGACGUUACCCGCAGAAGAAGCACCGGCUAACUCCGUGCCAGCAGCCGCGGUAAUACGGAGGGUGCAAGCGUUAAUCGGAAUUACUGGGCGUAAAGCGCACGCAGGCGGUCUGUCAAGUCGGAUGUGAAAUCCCCGGGCUCAACCUGGGAACUGCAUUCGAAACUGGCAGGCUAGAGUCUUGUAGAGGGGGGUAGAAUUCCAGGUGUAGCGGUGAAAUGCGUAGAGAUCUGGAGGAAUACCGGUGGCGAAGGCGGCCCCCUGGACAAAGACUGACGCUCAGGUGCGAAAGCGUGGGGAGCAAACAGGAUUAGAUACCCUUGUAGUC
rnacentral:rRNA from 1 species